UGAUGAAGAACACAGUGAAAUGUGAUAAGUAAUGUGAAUCGCAGAAUUCAGUGAAUCAUCAAAUUUUUGAACGCACCUUGCACCUUUUGGUAUUCCAAAAGGUACACCUGUUUGAGUGUCAUGAAAACUAGCUCAUUAAAUAACUUUUUUAUUAAGGUUUUUUGAUGGAUGUUGAGUGUUGCUGUGAUUAUUAUUACAGCUCACUUUAAAUACAUAAGCUCAUCUUAUCAUUUGAUUUGGACUGACUUGAUGUGAUAUAUAUCAACAUCAUCAAGGAAUGUAUAAUAUACAGCCAAUCAAUUUUUGAAAAGUAGGCUACUAAACAAGAUUUCCUUUAAUGCGGAAAUAUUAUUUGUAAGACCUCAAAUCAGGUGGAAUUACCCGCUGAACUUAAGCAUAUCAAUAAGCGGAGGAAAAGAAACUAACAAGGAUUCCCC
rnacentral:rRNA from 1 species